ensembl:lncRNA
UGUGUGUGUGUGUGUGUGUGAGGUGCCCAUGAGGGUGUGCAUGGGGUGUGUGUCAUAUGUCUGGGUUGAUAUAUUGGCUCUCUCACGUGAUGUUGGGGUCAUUCAAAAAAUCUGAAAAAAGGGGUAAAGAGAUGCAGAGAGAAAGAGGUGGAGAGAGAGAGAGAUGCAGAGAGAAAGAGGUGGAGGGAGAGAGAUGCAGAGAGAAAGAGGUGGAGAGAGAGAGAUGCAGAGAGAAAGAGGUGGAGAGAGAGAGAUGCAGAGAGAAAGAGGUGGAGAGAGAGAGAUGCAGAGAGAAAGAGGUGGAGAGAGAGAUGCAGAGAGAAAGAGGUAGAGAGAAAGAGGUAGGGCAGCAAUGGAUAAAGAAAGAACAGAGGUGAGCAGAGGAGAGAAAAGAUAGGGAGAGGGAAAGAUGAGAUAGAAAGAGGGAAAGAUGAGAUAAAAAGAGGGAAAGAUGAG